rnacentral:rRNA from 1 species
UACGAAGGGGGCUAGCGUUGCUCGGAAUCACUGGGCGUAAAGCGCACGUAGGCGGAUUGCUAAGUCAGGGGUGAAAUCCUGGAGCUCAACUCCAGAACUGCCUUUGAUACUGGCAACCUUGAGUCCGGGAGAGGUGAGUGGAACUGCGAGUGUAGAGGUGAAAUUCGUAGAUAUUCGCAAGAACACCAGUGGCGAAGGCGGCUCACUGGCCCGGUACUGACGCUGAGGUGCGAAAGCGUGGGGAGCAAACUGG